rnacentral:pre_miRNA from 1 species
CAUUUUUUGUUCUGUUAUAGUAUUACUUGACCCUAUUCUCAGAGUCAAAAAUAGU